rnacentral:ncRNA from 1 species
UAAUUAGAGGAAGGAUUUGACUGAUUGCAACCUCAUAAAAAAAUUGCUAAAGCAGUGUUG